rnacentral:rRNA from 1 species
UACGAAGGGGGCUAGCGUUGUUCGGAAUUACUGGGCGUAAAGCGUGCGCAGGCGGUCUCUCAAGUCAGGGGUGAAAGCCCAGAGCUCAACUCUGGAAUUGCCUUUGAAACUGUGAGGCUUGAGUGCGGGAGAGGUGAGUGGAAUUCCCAGUGUAGAGGUGAAAUUCGUAGAUAUUGGGAAGAACACCGGUGGCGAAGGCGGCUCACUGGCCCGUUUCUGACGCUCAUGCACGAUAGCGUGGGGAUCAAACAGG